GGAAGCCGGUGGGAGUCCGGCGCAGUCGCGCUACUGUGACAUCGCGCCACGAAAGUGGUUGCGGUGGAGCCAGAC
rnacentral:ncRNA from 1 species